rnacentral:rRNA from 1 species
CGUUGACCUCGGAUCAGGUAGGAAUACCCGCUGAACUUAAGCAUAUCAAUAAGCGGAGGAAAAGAAACCAACAGGGAUUGCCUCAGUAACGGCGAGUGAAGCGGCAACAGCUCAAAUUUGAAAUCUGGCCCCAGGCCCGAGUUGUAAUUUGCAGAGGAUGCUUUUGGCGCGGUGCCUUCCGAGUUCCCUGGAACGGGACGCCAUAGAGGGUGAGAGCCCCGUCUGGUUGGACACCAAGCCUCUGUAAAGCUCCUUCGACGAGUCGAGUAGUUUGGGAAUGCUGCUCAAAAUGGGAGGUAUAUGUCUUCUAAAGCUAAAUACCGGCCAGAGACCGAUAGCGCACAAGUAGAGUGAUCGAAAGAUGAAAAGCACUUUGAAAAGAGAGUUAAAUAGCACGUGAAAUUGUUAAAAGGGAAGCGUUUAUGACCAGACUUGGGCCGGUUAAUCAUCCAGCGUUCUCGCUGGUGCACUUUGCCGGUCCAGGCCAGCAUCAGUUCGUCGCGGGGGAUAAAGGCGUCGGGAAUGUGGCUCCUCGGAGUGUUAUAGCCCUUCGCGCAAUACCCUGCGGUGGACUGAGGUUCGCGCUCUGCAAGGAUGCUGGCGUAAUGGUCAUCAACGACCCGUCUUGAAACACGGACCAAGGAGUCGUCUUCGUAUGCGAGUGUUCGGGUGUAAAACCCCUACGCGUAAUGAAAGUGAACGCAGGUGAGAGCUUCGGCGCAUCAUCGACCGAUCCUGAUGUUCUCGGAUGGAUUUGAGUAAGAGCAUACGGGGCCGGACCCGAAAGAAGGUGAACUAUGCCUGUAUAGGGUGAAGCCAGAGGAAACUCUGGUGGAGGCUCGCAGCGGUUCUGA